GCCUUUUAAGAAACAGGUUCGAGCUUCUGCGGGUCCUUUUAAGUCUAAUAAUGAGGAAGGAACCUUUUUCAGGCCUCCGUGUCGCGUGCACGUAAUUAGCCUAGCCUAGCGUGUUUAGGAUCGCGGGCUCCCGCGGGGAGUAGCCUUCUUUCCUCCCCUCCCCCCACCGAAAUUCUGCGAUCGGCUACAAAGGCUCCCUUGCUGCAACCUUGCAAACUAGUCAUUGCAUUCUUGGAGGACAACAUCGACUGUACCAUUGGACAAGAAUCUGGUGGGUUGGUUUUACUUUUGAAGUGGGGAAGGGCGGGACACGAAGAAUAUUUCCGUCCGACAGAAUUGCUUGGAGAAGCCGAUUGCCGCUAGCUGGAAAAUGAGAACCCGUGUCAGUCUUUGGCAGCAACAAUUGCAGUUCUGCGUGCUAAUGAGUGAAUGAACCACAAGUGAUAACGGAUGCUAGAGAGAAAGAAAGAGGCUCAACUCACACAGUCCCCAACAACACUUUCAUGUUUCGUAAGGGAUUGUGAGGAAGUUAAAAAUGAGGAGCAGGAGCAAUUCUGGAGUCCGCCUAGAUGGCUACGCUCGACUUGUUCAACAGACAAUUUUGAAUCAACAGAAUCCAGUUACAGGACUACUUUCUGCCAGCACAGAGCAAAAGGAUGCUUGGGUGCGAGAUAAUAUAUAUAGCAUUUUGGCUGUGUGGGGCCUAGGGAUGGCCUACAGGAAGAAUGCAGACCGGGAUGAGGACAAAGCCAAAGCAUAUGAAUUAGAACAGAAUGUUGUGAAACUAAUGCGGGGGCUCUUGCAAUGCAUGAUGAGACAGGUAGAUAAGGUUGAAAAGUUCAAGCACACUCAGAGUACCAAGGAUUGCCUGCAUGCCAAAUAUAACACGGCCACUUGUGGAACAGUAGUUGCAGAUGACAAGUGGGGACAUCUACAAGUAGAUGCAACUUCGCUUUACCUUCUCUUCCUGGCUCAGAUGACAGCAUCAGGAUUGCGUAUUAUUUUCACACUUGAUGAAGUGGCCUUUAUACAGAAUCUUGUAUUUUAUAUCGAGGCUGCCUAUAAAGUUGCUGAUUAUGGCAUGUGGGAACGUGGUGAUAAGACAAAUCAGGGCAUUCCUGAGUUGAAUGCAAGCUCUGUUGGAAUGGCAAAAGCUGCUUUGGAAGCAAUUGAUGAGCUGGACCUGUUUGGAGUUGGAGGUGGACAUAAGUCAGUUAUUCAUGUGCUUCCAGAUGAAGUUGAACAUUGUCAGUCUAUUCUAUACUCCAUGUUACCGAGGGCAUCCACAUCAAAAGAGAUUGAUGCUGGCCUUUUGUCCAUUAUUUCUUAUCCAGCCUUUGCCAUAGAAGAUAUGAACAUUGUUAAUGCAACAAAAAAUGAAAUUAUCACCAAGUUGCAAGGACGUUAUGGCUGCUGUCGUUUCCUCCGAGAUGGCUAUAAAACACCAAGAGAGGAUCCAAACAGAUUACAUUAUGAUCCUGCUGAGCUCAAGUUAUUUGAGAACAUAGAAUGUGAAUGGCCUGUAUUCUGGACAUAUUUUCUAAUUGAUGGAGUUUUCAAUGAUGACAGAAUUCAGGUGCAGGAAUACAGAGAAGCCUUGGAAGGGAUCCUUAUUAGAAAAAAGAAUGGAAUUCUUCUGAUGCCAGAACUGUAUGCAGUUCCACCAGAUAAGGCGAGUGAAGAGUAUGAAAAUCCUCACACAGUGGAUCGUGUUCCAGCAGGAAAACUUCCUCAUCUUUGGGGCCAGUCAUUGUAUAUUCUUUCUGCCCUCCUAGCAGAGGGAUUUUUGGCUACGGGUGAAAUUGAUCCAUUAAACAGAAGGUUUUCAACCGCUUUUAAGCCUGAUGUGGUUGUUCAAGUAACCAUUCUAGCUGAAACAAAUGAAAUUAAGAAACUCUUACGACAUCAUGGAAUUAAUGCACAAAGCAUUGUUGACCUGAGUCCCACCAGAGUGCAGCCAUCUCGGAUUCUGAGUAAUCUUUAUGCUAAGCUUGGGCGUAACAAGAACAUGAAACUGAGUGGGAGGCCUUAUCGGCAUAUUGGUGUCCUGGGAACAUCCAAAUUAUAUAUCAUAAGAAACCAAAUAUUUACUUUUACCCCUCAGUUUACAGAUCAGCAUCACUUCUACUUGGCUUUAGACAAUCGGAUGAUUGUGGAAAUGCUUCGAACUGAGUUGGCUUAUCUAACUUCCCGUUGGCGAAUGACUGGAAGACCAACUCUUACUUUCCCAGUCACUAAUACAAUGCUUGUUGAUGAUGGGACUGAUAUUGAUUCUGCAAUUCUUGCCACCAUAAGAAAGCUUGGAGAUGGAUAUUUUGGAGGAGCAAGAGUGAAGUUGGGCAAACUUUCGGACUUUCUGACCACUUCAUUCUAUACAAACCUAAGUUUCUUGGAUCCUGAUUGUGACAGCAAGCUAUUUGAUGAUGAGAGUGAAGGCUACUCUAGCCCUGAAAGUGGCUAUGAACUAGAAGAUUAUGCAGACUUCUGUGAUAAGGAAAGCCACGAUGAACUGGACCAGUACAUAAACAGUAUGUUACAGAGCACUGCUCUGAAAUCAUACUUACCUUCACUCACAAAAGACACAGGCUCAUCCUACGUGUUUAGUGCUGCUCAUUCUACUAGAGAAAUACUAUCAAUCAUGGCCAAGGUUAAGGGACUGGAUGUUCCAAAUGUUUCAAUGACCUUGCCUACAAAGGUUUUAAACACUCAUCGGAAAUCUUUGAACCUAGUUGACUCCCCUCAUCCACAAAUGGGUCAAGAAUGUAAGACUGCUCUUCAUUUGCCCAAGGAUGCUCAUGGUGAUUUGGAUUGUGAGAAAUUAAUUGGGCAGCUAACAGAAUGCCCUACAUUACAUGACCAGGCUGAUAUAUUAUACGUCUUAUAUCUAAUAAAAGGUCUUGAUUGGGAAACACAGCUCUAUGGCCAGUCUGGAGUCACAGUUCAUUGCCUCCUCAACGAACUGUACAGCAAAGCAGGUGUAAACCAAGAAUGGGGGCUCAUCCGUUAUAUUUCUGGCAUAUUGAAAAAGAAAGUUGAAGUCCUGGCUGAGGCCUGUACAGAUCUUUUAUCCCACCAGAAGCAACUUACAGUUGGCCUCCCGCCUGAGCCCCGUGAAAAAACAAUUACAGCGCCUUUGCCUCCUGAAAAGCUGACUGAAUUAAUAUAUGAAGCCUGUGGCCAGGAUAUCAGCAUUGCAGUCCUCACACAGGAAAUUAUAGUGUACCUGGCCAUGUAUGUCCGGUCACAACCCAGUCUCUUUGCAGAAAUGCUCAGACUCCGCAUUGGGCUCAUUAUUCAAGUGAUGGCCACAGAACUUGCUCGCAACUUGAAUUGUUCGGGUGAAGAAGCCUCUGAAAGUUUAAUGAAUCUGAGUCCCUUUGAUAUGAAAAAUCUUCUUCAUCAUAUUCUCAGUGGAAAAGAAUUUGGAGUCGAAAGGAGCAUGCGUCCUCUUGAUUCUUCUACAUCCAGCCCUGCUAUAUCUAUCCAUGAAGUGGAUCACACUGGAGCAACAAAGACAGAAAGAAGUGGCAUUACAAGACUGAAAAGUGAGAUGAAACAGAGACAUAAGAGACUAAGUAGUAAUGAACAGUUCUUCUAUGGGGGCCAUUCCACAUCCAGCAGCAUGCACUCAUCCAGGUCCAUGAGAUGCAGUAGCCCAUCUUCUCCUACUAGUACUUCAUCCCUAACUGGGUCAGUUGGACACUCUAUUAGCUGGGGUGACCGACAAGGGCAGUGGCUUCGCAGGAGACGGCUCGAUGGUGCCAUUAAUAGAGUCCCUGUGGGUUUCUAUCAGAAAGUGUGGAAGAUCCUUCAGAAGUGUCAUGGACUGUCUAUUGAUGGGUAUGUCCUUCCAUCUUCAACCACAAGGGAGAUGACUGCUUGUGAAAUUAAGUUUGCUGUCCAUGUGGAAUCAGUGCUGAACCAUGUGCCCCAGCCUGAAUACAGACAGUUAUUAGUGGAGGCCAUCCUUGUACUGACCCUAUUGUCAGAAAUAGAUGUGAACAGUAUUGGGGGUAUAAUUCAUGUGGAUCGGAUUGUGCACAUAGCAAAUGACCUCUUCCUUCAGGAACAGAAAUCCCUCGGAGCAGUUGAUGGCUUCUUAGAACAAGAUGCAGGCACAGGUAUCUGCUACUUUUUCUAUGACAGUGCUCCAAGUGGUGCUUAUGGAACCAUGACUUAUCUAACAAAGGCAGUAGCCAGUUAUCUCCAUGAAUUUCUUCCAAGCACAGGCUGCCUGAUGCAGUAAACUGUCCAAAAUACAAGAUCCAUUCCUACAGGAUUUUUCUUAUAAUCAUAAUUUUUUGAGUCCUCAGUGGCUAGGACUUCUGGAAGUUGAAUACAUCCUGGAGACUGCUGAGAAAGGCUGCCCUGUAGCUCCUCAUGCUACCUCAACAUUACCUGCAUCAUUUUACUAUUAACAUAAGGCCUCAGCCUGGGAGCAAGAUCAAAGGCAAAAUUCUAUGUAUAUCUCCUGCAGAGCAUUGUCUGUAUCAUCUUGGACUCAGGCAACUGGCUUGUCUGGUUGUCAGACACCUGCAUAGACUGAAAAAUAAGUAAAGUUGUUCCACAAUAAAUUAUUAACUAUAGACUUACUUGGAGCAUAAUGAAACAGAAAACAUCUAAAAUCUACACCAACACAUUAAGCAUGUUGGCAGGAUCAGCUGGAAUUUAGUUUCCAGAGGUAAUAAAACAUUGACACAAAUUCAUAUUUAUUUUAUCCUACAUUUAAAAGAAAAAAACCAAUAUGGAGCAAAUGUCUGAAAUGCAAAAACCUAUUAUAGGACUGACAAAGAAUUUUAGUCCACUAAUUUUGAAUAAGUGUUUUGCUAUACGUGUUUUGCUACUAUUUCAGCAUUGCAGUAAGUAAUGAGUAGUAAUAAGCAAUGAGAGAAGAAAAUUAAUGCUAAAGGCAUUAUAGCAAGUGGUAUCUUGUAUGACCUACAAUUGUAAUACCAGUUCAGGCAUGCUUUUGCACUUGUGUUCAGUAUUGAAUGCUAUAUCAACAUAUUUGUGCUAAAAUAUUAAGUAUUUAUUUAAAGUCAGAAAAUAUAUCUCCGGGGAAAAAGUUAUUCAUAUAAAUAAUGGGUCAGCAUUAUAGUGAAAGCUGGAAAGACAGUUGGAUGUUUAAUUGUCUUUUUCUUUUUGUUAUAUGUUUCUUCUGUAUUUAUAAUAAAACAUCCUAUUAAACUCCACAGUGUCAGAUUGUUGCAUGUUUGAGUUUCUGACAUUCUAAAACUUGAAUGGAGGAGGGAAAUGAUUAAUAAUGUAUCUUCAUUGAGCAUUUAAGCAUGGUUUUAUAUCAAAGAUAAUAUGUAAUGAAAGAAACAUGAUUAAAUAUGUUAAUGUUAAUUAUCACUUUGUGGAAACAACAUUUUUAAUUUACACGUAAAUCUUGCCUCAUCUAAAUAGAAAUAGAGAAAUAUACUUUAUUUUUGAGUACAGUAUAGAAUACUU